UUAACUUUACGCUUGGAUACAAGUGUGGUACGGCAGUCAUUGAAAAAAAAAAACAAUUUUUUAAUGUUGUUUUUUGUUGUUGUUGUUGACAUUAAAAAAAAACGGAUUCGUUGAUUUGUGUUCGUGACUUGUGUGAUGCAAAUUGAUUUUGACAUUUUAAUGUGAACCGGGCGUUUUUGGAUUCGAAAAUGCAUCGCCUUAACCGCGUUAACGAUGCCGUGCAUAUGUUUAUGGGCGAUCUAACUUCACGGUUGGUCGCCGAAUCAGGCCGCGCAGAAGAUCGGUUUCACCUCGGCAAGAUGAUUCUUCAGAGUUUAAAAGACGCUCCCGACCAUGUUAUGCAGAUAGACGGCGGAACAGGCGAAAUGGAGACCAACGCAUCCGCUUUAAAGAGGACAGUGCAAUGCGCGACGGCUAUGAAGAACGUAGGUCUAGGGUGCGGUGACGUCAUAGCGCUCAUGGCUCCAAACCACUUAGACCUGGCUAUACCGUUCUACGCGGCUUUCUAUCUCGGCGUUGCUGUGGCGGCUGUGGACCGAGCUUUGAGUGUUAAGGAACUUCAAGACACGUUCAGAGUUAUCAAACCGAAGCUGAUAUUCUGCCAGAGCGAGAAGGCUCCGGACAUACAAUUGGCUUUGAACCAGCUAGAUCUUGGUGCUGAGAUCGUCACCUUUGACAAGGGGGAGUUCCUUUGCAGCUUCCCAAAGUUCCUCGAGAAAUAUUCCGAUGAUAAGCCUAUUGAGGAGUUUAGAGCCGCAGAUUUCGACCCAGACACAACGAUAGCAACACUGAUUCCGACGAGCGGUACGACUGGUAUCCCCAAAUCAGCUGCUAUAAGCCAUAAGAACUUCUCUAUCUCCUGUCCUUAUCUAUGGUCGAGGUAUACUAAAUUCCCGACUCCCACUCGCAUGGCGCUGAUCGGAUCUCCAUUGCAAUGGCUGACGGCUAUCCUCCACUACAUCAUAUCUCCGAUAAUGAAGUACACUCGCUUGCAGACUUCAGGGGUCUUCAAUCCGGAACACGCUGUCUAUCUUAUCAGAAAGUAUAAGCCCACCUACAUGGUAUUGAGUCCAAUAAUAUCAUCAUCGCUCCUAAAAUUUGGCGAUGAAGAAUGUGACUUUACCAGCUUCGAAUUAAUAUUACUUGGAGGAAGUGCUGUACCGCCUGAUUUGAUUGAUGAAAUUAAGAAAAGAUCUCCACAUACAGAAGUUUUUAACGUAUUCGGUAUGACUGAGCUGACGACUGUCGGCUUCCAUACUGAAGAUCCACCGCCAGGCUCCUGCGGGAAACCAAUCGGAUGCUUUCAAUACCGAAUAGUCAACGCGGAAACACAACAAGACGUAACUGAACCCAACGUACGCGGCGAGUUGUGGGUGAAAGGACCAGCAAUAUUCAAGGGAUAUUACAACAAUCCAAAAGCAACUUUGGAGACAUUUGCAGAAGACGGCUGGUUCAAGACUGGAGACAUGUUCUACCGUGAUGAGCACUGGAACUUCUUCUUCGUGGAGCGCAUCAAGUUGCUGCUGAAGUAUAAGAGUCAUCAGAUAUCUCCAGUGGAACUAGAAACAGUGAUCCGUGGUCAUCCCGGGGUACAAGAGGUGGCAGUGACCGGGAUACCGGACCCGGAGCUCGGGGAUCUGCCCGUCGCCUGCGUCGUGCGCCGCCCCGGGCAUGACGUCGCUGCCCAGGAUAUCAAGGACCUCGUCAAAGAAUCGCUGUCCGAAUCCAAGCAGCUGCAUGGUGGAGUGGUGUUCUUCGAGGACUUACCAAUGACAGCGAGUGCUAAGAUUAACAGGAAAAAACUGAAGGAAAUGAUCGUAAAAAUGGAAAGAGAAUAAAAAUACCAAAGAAUAAUAAAAAAUAAGGGAUAUUAAAAAACAGAAUUAGAUAUAAGUGGGGACAUCUGCCUGGGUAGAACUGUAGAAGAGGAGAGGGGAGGCCUUUGCUCAGCAGUUGGACAUGAUAGGUUAGAAAAAAGAAUAAAAAAAAAUUGUGGAAAUGAAUCUCAUUAUUAUCGAGAGACAGACAGUCUAUGCGUGCAUUUAGACUAAAGUAAAACCCAGAGGGGGUGAGGUAAAUCUAACUCGCCGCCUGAUACGAAUGGUGCGGGGCGGAGAAGUACCGUUCUAUACGUAGUAUUAUUCUUUAUUCUAUGACUGCACCCCACUGUAGUGCAGUGUAAUGGAGAAAUAUGUAGAACAUACAGUCAUGAGCAAUAUCAUGUACCCACUUUAGAACCCUGUCGC